UCCCUCUGUAUGCAGAAUAUUGUGCAACAUGGUUAUGGGUACUACAGUGGAUGGCAAGUAGAGCUGCAGCUGUCUGGCGCCACUGUAAUGCUGUCUCCUCCUCUGAGUGAGUUCAUCCUGGAAACAUUUUCUCCCAUAAGACAUGCACAGGUCUUACGUUUACAUGUUUCACUGAAAGAAAUUUGAUUCCACUGCUGGGAUGACAAGGAAGACUGAAGAAACCUAAUCCUAGGUGCUGCCACUGGGACAAACAAGAAGCACCAGACACAGUGCUGUUUUAGGGUGGGGCAGAAUUAUGCUGAGGGAAAAGUUAUUAUCACUCUUUAAGGCCAAGGAAACCACAAUUUUUAAAGAAGCUUCUAGAAAUUCUACCCAGUAGAAAAUAAAGAUAAACUUCUGUAAGGAA
rnacentral:lncRNA from 1 species